rnacentral:rRNA from 1 species
CGUGUAGGCGGCUAUGCAGGUCGGAUGUGAAAGUCCCGGGCUUAACCCGGGAAGUGCAUUCGAAACCGCGUGGCUAGAGUAAGAGAGGGGAAAGUGGAAUUCCUGGUGUAGAGGUGAAAUUCGUAGAUAUCAGGAGGAACACCGGUGGCGAAGGCGGCUUUCUGGCUCUAUACUGACGCUGAGACGCGAAAGCGUGGGUAGCAAACAGGAUUAGAUACCCUGGUAGUCC